UCUCCCUACAAAACUAGGGUUUCCUCAUUAUAUUAACAUGGUCAUGGCAGCCAAUAGCUCCAAUAUUCUUGGUUUUUUUUUCUUUUAAAGAAGGGAUACAAUACAAGAACUUCCCUGAGAUCAACCAUCCUACAAUUACUUUCGCCCAGGCUUAACUUCAUGUCCUGGUGGAACUCGAUGAGUUAAUGUUGUCGCAUUCUCUAUUCUUGGUCUUACUUAAAUGAUCCACGAAGAAAAUAAUAUGCACAAAGGUAUUAGCAGGGGUGGAGCCAGCUCUUCGGGUGUGGAUUCGGCCAAACCCAGUAGCUUUUGUCCGAACCAUAUAUUUAUAUUAAAUUUUUUGACAAAUAUAUACAAUUUAUUAAUUAAGAACCCAGUAACUUUAAAAAAUUAAAAUCCAAACCCACAAGCUUUGAAUCUUGAUUCCGCAUCUGGGUAUUAGUUCUGCCGAGUAAAAUCUUUAUACACCUUUGGGUUUUUAAUCCCAUUGGAGUAUUUGUUCUAGGCCUAGAUGAAAAUACUAGAGAGGUAAGUAUCAAAUUAACUUCUUGCUAAACUCUUAUUAAAGAAUUAAAAGGUUCAGUACAUUUCGAUAAAUGGUUAGUAUGUAUUUUGGUAAACCCGAGCAGUUUAACACAUAUUACAUUAUACAGGAGUAAUAAAGACUUCUCAAUAAGAGGGCAGGGGUAGGAACGUGAGAGGUUUUCAAAACUUGUCAGUUUGGAAAAGUUCAUUCUGUAUUUUUAAAAUCCCAGACUUUUCUUCUAUUCCCUAGGGAUAAUAAUCAUGAAGCAAUCAUCACUCAUAAAGAUAGUAAUAAUCAACAAAAAAGGGAAAAAGGGCGAUGGUGGUUAGACAACUUCAUCUUGCACCACUUGUUAAUGGAGUAUUUAAUUAAAGUUCCAAUCCACCAAAAGAUCUUCCCCUUCGAAAGGGCCACAGCAUUAUUCAUUAAGCAAAGUGUUUCAAUAAUUUAUUUUGUUAUUUUUUGGUAGCUAACAGCCUUUUCUGUAUAUUUUUU